AAUUCCAAGCUCAGUUUGCUCCAAAUGAAGGAAUUCCAAGCUCAGUUUGUUCCAUCUGAAGGAAUUCCAAGCUCAAUUUAUUCCAAACAAAGGAAUUCCAAGCUCACUCACUGUGGCUGCUGAUGUGCUGAGUGAAUUCCCAAAUCCCAGGGAUGGGAGAUGGGGACAUUUGGGGACAAACCAGGACAAACUGGGCUCCUUUUUUUUGGGGGGGGGGAAAAGCAGCUUUUGGGGGAAGCUUUCCUUGUUGUUCCAUAAAUCCUCCAGCUGGUGGAUGUUUGGAAAAGUUUGGGAAUAACAGGGUUGGAAAGAUGAUGGGAAUUUGGGGAAUUUUCUUACACUAGGUUUUGUGCAUGUUCCUUCUUGGUCUUCUAAAAUAAUUUGCUUUUCUUUUUCUAGAAUUUCUCCCAAGUUUCUGGAAAUCUGGGAAUUGUUUCAAAUUAUUUAUUAUCUCAGCAUCCCAGAAUUCCUCCUGGAUUUGUACAUACAUGAUAUAUUUAUAUUUGGUUUUAUUGGCACUCGUUUUCCAGCAGGAUUUAAUUCCUCCAGCACCUGCUUUUUUUUGGUGCUCUGGAAUUUGUGCUUUUAAAAUUUGAACCUUUGAAAUUCCUGCAGAGGGGUUUUUACCUGGCAAAGCAAUGGAAAAAAAAAAAAAAGUGCAAUAGGAGAGUUGUUGGAAUACAUGGAUUUUAAAUAAAUUAUUUAAGUUCAGGUAAUUUAUAUCUUUAAUAGGAUUUAUUUGGGAGCUUUGACUUUAGGGGGGAGGAAAAAAAAAAGGACUCAAAUAAUGCUGAUGGUGCAUAUUCAGAGCAGGGGGAUUUUUCCAGUGG